UCAAGCUAAGAAGAGCGCAGGGCGAAUGCCUUGGCACUGGGAGCCGACGAAGGACGCGAUAAGCUGCGAUAAGCUGCGGGGAGGAGCAAAUAUCCAUUGAUCCGCAGAUUUCCGAAUGGAGAAAUCCGUAUGGAGAAGUCCAUACAUCAUAUACUGAAUUCAUAGGUAUAUGAGGGAAACCGCCUGAACUGAAACAUCUAAGUAGGGCGAGGAAAAGAAAUCAACCGAGAUUCCGCAAGUAGUGGCGAGCGAACGCGGAAGAGGCCAAACCGAGAGUAGUAAUACUUUCGGGGUUCGGACAGCGGACGGUAUGCUGAAGGUUAGCAGAAGGACAUGGGACGGUCCACCAAAGAGAGUGAGAGUCUCGUAUGCGAAAACUGAAAGCAGCCAGCUGAAUCCAGAGUACCGCCGGACACGUGAAACCCGGUGGGAAUAUGGGGGGACCAUCCUCCAAGCCUAAAUACUACCCAGUGACCGAUAGCGUAUAGUACUGUGAAGGAAAGGUGAAAAGAACCCCGGGAGGGGAGUGAAAAGAACCUGAAACCUUGUGCUUACAAGCACACAAAGCACGUCAACGUGUGAUGUGGUACCUUUUGUAGAAUGGUCCGGCGAGUGAAUGUAACUGGCGAGGUUAAGUUCUUAAGGAACGGAGCCGAAGCGAAAGCAAGUCUGAAUAGGGCGUCUUAGUCAGUUGUAUUCGACCCGAAACCGGGUGACCUAUCCAUGUCCAGGAUGAAGUUAAGGUAAAACUUGAUGGAGGUCCGAACCCACGGUCGUUGAAAUGCCCGGGGAUGAGAUGUGGAUAGCGGAGAAAUUCCAAUCGAACCCGGAUAUAGCUGGUUCUCUCCGAAAUAGCUUUAGGGCUAGCCUCGACUGAACAUUACCGGAGGUAGAGCACUGAAUGGGCUAGGGGCCGAGAGGUUACUGAACCCUAUCAAACUUCAAAUGCCGGAAAAUGAUAGUCGGGAGUCAGACUGCGUGAGAUAAGUUUCGUAGUCGAAAGGGAAACAGCCCAGACCCACAGCUAAGGUCCCAAAGUACGGUUAAGUGGAAAAGGAUGUGGAGUUGCACAGACAACCAGGAUGUUGGCUUAGAAGCAGCCACUCAUUAAAAGAGUGCGUAAUAGCUCACUGGUCGAGUGACUCUGCGCCGAAAAUUUAACGGGGCUAAAUCGUACACCGAAGCUUGGGAUGUAUCUAUGAUACAUGGUAGGAGAGCGUUGAAUGCGGGGUGAAGUCAGAGCGAAAGCGCUGGUGGACUGCAUUGAAGUGAGAAUGCCGGAAUGAGUAGCGAGAUUUAUGUGAGAAUCAUAAAGGCCGAAAGACUAAGGUUUCAGAAGGAAGGUUCGUCCGCUUCUGGUUAGCCGGGAGCUAAGGUGAGGCCGAAAGGCGUAGCCGAUGCACAUACGGUGGAGAUUCCGUAGCCGUCGAAAUAUUUAAGCAAAGGGACACUUAUGAAGGACAUGACCCGGGCGAUGGUAGCCCCGGGCGUAAGGGACUGAAAACAAGUAAGGAAGCAUGUUUGGAUUAAGGCGAGAAAAGCUUUGUGUAUAUAUGAGACGUCCGUACCGCAAACCGACACAGGUAGUCAGGAAGAGGAUUCUAAGGCCAACGGGAGAAGGGUAGUUAAGGAACUCGGCAAAUUGACCCCGUAACUUCGGGAUAAGGGGCGGUGCGUAAGCACCCGCAGUGAAUAGGUCCAGGCGACUGUUUAUCAAAAACACAGCUCUCUGCUAAAUCGAAAGAUGACGUAUAGGGGGUGACACCUGCCCGGUGCUGGAAGGUUAAGAGGAGGAGUGCAAGCUCCGAAUUGAAGCCCCAGUAAACGGCGGCCGUAACUAUAACGGUCCUAAGGUAGCGAAAUUCCUUGUCGGGU
rnacentral:rRNA from 1 species